AGUUGGUCCAAGUCCAAUGGUGUUUACAACUAAUUGAUCACAACCAGUUACAGAUCCCUUUGUUCCUUUCUCCACUCCCACUGCUUCACUUGACCAGGCUUAAA
ensembl:misc_RNA Y_RNA Y RNA